UACGUAGGGUGCAAGCGUUGUCCGGAAUUAUUGGGCGUAAAGAGCUCGUAGGCGGUCUGUCGCGUCGGCUGUGAAAACCCGGAGCUCAACUCCGGGCCUGCAGUCGAUACGGGCGGACUUGAGUCUGCAGGGGAGACUGGAAUUCCUGGUGUAGCGGUGAAAUGCGCAGAGUAUCAGGAGGAACACCGGUGGCGAAGGCGGGGUCUCUGGGCCGUUACUGACGCUGGAGGAGCGA
rnacentral:rRNA from 1 species